rnacentral:rRNA from 1 species
UGCCAGCAGCCGCGGUAAUACGGAGGGUGCAAGCGUUGUCCGGAUUUAUUGGGUUUAAAGGGUGCGUAGGCGGCUAAUUAAGUCAGUGGUGAAAGCCCGCAGCUCAACUGUGGAACUGCCAUUGAUACUGGUUAGCUUGAGUUUGGUUGAGGUAAGCGGAAUGGAUAGUGUAGCGGUGAAAUGCAUAGAUAUUAUCCAGAACACCGAUAGCGAAGGCAGCUUACUGGGCCGAUACUGACGCUGAGGCACGAAAGCAUGGGGAGCGAACAGGAUUAGAUA